rnacentral:rRNA from 1 species
GUGGAUUAGAUACCCUGGUAGUCCACGCUGUAAACGAUGAAUACUAGGUGUGGGAGGACUGACCCCUUCCGUGCCGCAGUUAACACAAUAAGUAUUCCACCUGGGGAGUACGACCGCAAGGUUGAAACUCAAAGGAAUUGACGGGGGCCCGCACAAGCAGUGGAUUAUGUGGUUUAAUUCGACGCAACGCGAAGAACCUUACCAGGACUUGACAUCCAACUAACGAAGUAGAGAUACAUUAGGUGCCCUUCGGGGAAAGUUGAGACAGGUGGUGCACGGCCGUCGCCAACU